rnacentral:rRNA from 1 species
CUUGCUUUCUUUGCUGGCGACCGGCGCACGGGUGAGUAACACGUAUCCAACCUGCCCUUUAUUCGGGGAUAGCCUUUCGAAAGAAAGAUUAAUACCCGAUAGCAUAAUGAUUCCGCAUGGUUUCAUUAUUAAAGGAUUCCGGUAAAGGAUGGGGAUGCGUUCCAUUAGGUUGUUGGUGGGGUAACGGCCCACCAAGCCUUCGAUGGAUAGGGGUUCUGAGAGGAAGGUCCCCCACACUGGUACUGAGACACGGACCAA